rnacentral:rRNA from 1 species
UACGAAGGGGCUAGCGUUGCUCGGAAUUACUGGGCGUAAAGAGCUCGUAGGUGGUUUGUCGGUCGUUUGUUCGUGAAAACCGGGGGCUUAACCCUCGGCGUGCGGGCGGAUACGGGCAGACGUGGAGUACUGCAGGGGAGACUGGAAUUCCUGGUGUAGCGGUGGAAUGCGCAGAUAUCAGGAGGAACACCGGUGGCGAAGGCGGGUCUCUGGGCAGUAACUGACGCUGGAGGAGCGAAAGCGUGGGGAGCGAACAGG